GUUUUAUAUUUUUAGUAGAGACAGGGUUUCACUGUGUUAGCCAGGAUGGUCUCGAUCUCCUGAUCUCGUGAUCCGCCCACCUUGGCCUCCCAAAGUGCUGGGAUUACAGGCAUGAGCCACCACGCCCGGCCUGAAAAUUCAAAAGAAUUUUCUACUAGGUGACAUUGGAACAAUCAUCUUUCAUUGUUAUUUGAUUCUUUCCAGGUUUCUGUUGCUUACAACUCAUUAGAUUUUGAACCAGAGAUAUUCUUUGCCUUGGGGUCUCCAAUUGCUAUGUUUCUCACUAUUCGAGGAGUUGAUAGGAUAGAUGAGAAUUACAGCCUUCCUACCUGUAAAGGGUUCUUCAAUAUUUAUCAUCCGGUGAGUAAUUGAAUUUACUUUGUUUUUUAAAAUCCUUUUUUCUUUUUUAAACAUUUUUUACUUUUUUAUAGAGAUGGGGUCUUACUAUGUGGACCACACUGGUCUCAAACUCCUGGCCUCAAGUGAUCCUUCCAUCACAGCCUCCCAAAUCGCUAGGAUUAUAGGCGUGAGCCACUGUGCCUGACCUUUUACUUUCUUUUUUGAAGAAGAUGAAGAACCUGUCCUCUUUAUCCUAGUAAAUUCUCAUAUUCUUAUUUCUUGGGAAUUAAUACCUAUCUUGAUUUUAUAAGGUUCAGCUUUCUGUUCUAAGAGGUAUAGUCUGACACUUUCCAAUAAACUUAUCAAAAGCCUUUGUUCAGGGAAAUAAUUCUUUUGCUUUGCUUGCAAAGUAAUCUUACACACAAACUAGAAAAUCUUUUCAUAAUUGUCAGUAUUUGAAUAAGGUGUGGAGAAAAAUAAAAAUCUCUGAUUUGCCAUGUAUCCAUUUUCUUACCCAGCGAAGGCAUAUAACUCAAAACAGCUUUCAUAAAUUUCUUUUAUUUAUUCAUAAAUUCUUCUAUUUAUAGCUUGAUCCAGUGGCAUAUAGAUUAGAACCUAUGAUUGUUCCAGAUUUGGACCUAAAAGCUGUUCUCAUUCCACAUCACAAAGGCAGAAAAAGACUUCAUUUAGAAUUGAAAGAGAGUCUCUCUCGUAUGGGAUCUGAUUUGAAGCAGGGUUUUAUUAGCUCUCUCAAAAGUGCUUGGCAGACAUUAAAUGAGUUUGCCCGUGCUCAUACGUCUUCAACCCAGUUGCAAGAAGAAUUGGAGAAGGUGGC
rnacentral:lncRNA from 10 species